rnacentral:rRNA from 1 species
UACGUAGGGGGCAAGCGUUGUCCGGAAUCAUUGGGCGUAAAGGGCGCGUAGGCGGUCAGCACAAGUCAGUUGUGAAAUCUCCGGGCUUAACUCGGAAAGGUCAACUGAUACUGUGCGACUAGAGUGCGGAAGGGGCAACUGGAAUUCCUGGUGUAGCGGUGAAAUGCGCAGAUAUCAGGAGGAACACCGGUGGCGAAGGCGGGUCUCUGGGCCGAUACUGACGCUGAGGAGCGAAAGCGUGGGUAGCGAACAGG